rnacentral:rRNA from 1 species
GAUGAACGCUGGCGGCGUGCCUAAUACAUGCAAGUCGAGCGAACGGACGAGAAGCUUGCUUCUCUGAUGUUAGCGGCGGACGGGUGAGUAACACGUGGAUAACCUACCUAUAAGACUGGGAUAACUUCGGGAAACCGGAGCUAAUACCGGAUAAUAUUUUGCACCGCAUGGUUCAAAAGUGAAAGACGGUCUUGCUGUCACUUAUAGAUGGAUCCGCGCUGCAUUAGCUAGUUGGUAAGGUAACGGCUUACCAAGGCAACGAUGCAUAGCCGACCUGAGAGGGUGAUCGGCCACACUGGAACUGAGACACGGUCCAGACUCCUACGGGAGGCAGCAGUAGGGAAUCUUCCGCAAUGGGCGAAAGCCUGACGGAGCAACGCCGCGUGAGUGAUGAAGGUCUUCGGAUCGUAAAACUCUGUUAUUAGGGAAGAACAUAUGUGUAAGUAACUGUGCACAUCUUGACGGUACCUAAUCAGAAAGCCACGGCUAACUACGUG